GUAGGGAAUAUUGCGCAAUGGGCAAAAGCCUGACGCAGCAACGCCGCGUGGGUGAUGAAGUUCUUCGGAAUGUAAAACCCUGUCUAGAGGAAAGAAACUUCCCAAAUCAAAUAGCUUUGGGGACUGACGGUACCUCUGGAGGAAGCUCCGGCCAACUCCGUGCCAGCAGCCGCGGUAAUACGGGGGGAGCAAGCGUUGUUCGUAAUCACUGGGCGUAAAGGGUGUGUAGGCGGGUAAGCAAGUCGGGCGUGAAAACUCCAAGCUUAACUAGGAGCGGGCGCUCGAUACUACUUGUCUUGAGUACGGGAGAGGAAAGUGGAAUUCCUGGUGUAGCGGUGAAAUGCGUAGAUAUCAGGAGGAACACCGGUGGCGAAGGCGGCUUUCUAGCCCGAUACUGACGCUGAGACACGAAGGCUAGGGGAGCAAACAGGAUUAGAAACCCUGGUAGUCC
rnacentral:rRNA from 1 species